GACGAACGCUGGCGGCGUGCUUAACACAUGCAAGUCGAACGGUGAAGGGACCGGUUUUUGCUGGUUCUGGAUGAGUGGCGAACGGGUGAGUAACACGUGAGUAACCUGCCCCCUUCUUCUGGAUAACCGCAUGAAAGUGUGGCUAAUACGGGAUAUUCUGCGCCUGCUGCAUGGUGGGUGUGGGAAAGAUAUUGUUUCGGUGGGGGAUGGGCUCGCGGCCUAUCAGCGUGUUGGUGGGGUGAUGGCCUACCAAGGCGGUGACGGGUAGCCGGCCUGAGAGGGUGGACGGUCACACUGGGACUGAGACACGGCCCAGACUCCUACGGGAGGCAGCAGUGGGGAAUAUUGCACAAUGGGCGCAAGCCUGAUGCAGCGACGCCGCGUGAGGGAUGGAGGCCUUCGGGUUGUAAACCUCUUUCGCCAGUGAAGCAGGCCUGUCCCUUUUGUGGGUGGGUUGACGGUAGCUGGAUAAGAAGCGCCGGCUAACUACGUG
rnacentral:rRNA from 1 species